GGCGGGGCAAGAACUAAACAGGUAUCCCCAUAGUUAUGGCGAAUGAACCGGGAUAAACUCAGCAUGGAAAUUGGGGCCUUUGGCUUUGACUUGUAAUCUGGUGAGGCAUUGCCAACAGAGGCGCAUAUGUAAGUCUCUUGGAAAAGAGCAUCAACGAAGGUGAGAGUCCUGAUUGUCAUGUGCAGCCCCCCUGUGCACGGUGUGCCUUCUAAGAGUCACGUUCCUUGGGAUUGGAGCGCAAAUUGGGUGGUAACUUUCAUCUGAAGUUAAACAAGGGUUUGGGACCGAUAGGAAACAAGUACCAUGAGGGAAAGGUGAAAAGGACUUUGGAAAGAGAGUUAAAAGUGCCUGAAAUUGCUGAAGGGGAAGCGAAUGGAACCAGUAGUGCUGGGUGAGAUUGUCACAUGCUACAAGGAUUGGUUGCUGCCACAACGCAAGUGUGAUGGCAAUUUGUGAAUUGCUAGUGUGUGGUGUGUCUUACCUAGUGGGUCAUUGUGGGUUUAUGCAUUAAGAUAAGUCAAAGCAAGCGGGAGCAAGUUUACGAGUUUGUGAAUGUGUGUUGUUAUGCUUGUGCGUAAGCUUUAAGGUUUGUCUGGCUGCAGGGCUGUCCAUCCUCGAGCUGAGGGUUGCGAUGAGCAUAACCUCUGCGCAGAUCUUGACUGAAAUGUU
rnacentral:rRNA from 1 species